AGAGUUUGAUCAUGGCUCAGAAUGAACCUGGCGGCGUGCUUAACACAUGCAAGUCGAACGAGAACACCCUAGCUUGCUAGGGUAAGUAAAGUGGCGCACGGGUGAGUAACGCGUGGGUAAUCUACCUUCGAAUUGGGGAUAACGUUGCGAAAGCGACGCUAAUACCGAAUAACAUCCAUUAAUCUUUGGAUUUUUGGAUCAAGGGUGGCCUCUACAUGUAAGCUACUGUUUGAAGAUGAGCCCGCGUACCAUUAGCUUGUUGGUGGGGUAAUGGCCUACCAAGGCGACGAUGGUUAGCUGGUCUGAGAGGAUGAUCAGCCACACUGGAACUGACACACGGUCCAGACUCCUACGGGAGGCAGCAGUGAGGAAUUUUGCGCAAUGGGCGAAAGCCUGACGCAGCAACGCCGCGUGAGUGAUGAAGGCCUUCGGGUCGUAAAGCUCUGUCAAGUGGGAAGAACCUAUAUAAUGUUAAUACCAUUAUAUACUGACGGUACCACUGAAGGAAGCACCGGCUAACUCCGUGCCAGCAGCCGCGGUAAUACGGGGGGUGCAAGCGUUAUUCGGAAUCAUUGGGCGUAAAGAGCACGUAGGCGGCCUGGUAAAUCAGAUGUGAAAUCCCGGGGCUUAACCCCGGAAGUGCAUUUGAUACUGUCAGGCUUGAGUAUGGGAGAGGGAAGUGGAAUUCCUGGUGUAGAGGUGAAAUUCGUAGAUAUCAGGAGGAACACCGGUGGCGAAGGCGACUUCCUGGACCAAUACUGACGCUGAGGUGCGAAGGCGUGGGUAGCAAACAGGAUUAGAUACCCUAGUAGUCC
rnacentral:rRNA from 1 species